AUGUGCCUGUAUGCGGAUGGUGUUCAGCACCAAGGAAAUGUAUCUUUGUCAGUGUUUCGGUGGUGUUCAGCACCAAGGACAGGUAUGUUUACCU
rnacentral:pre_miRNA from 1 species